rnacentral:tRNA from 1 species
UCCCUGGUGGUCCAGCGGUUAAGAUGACAUGCAUCCCAUGCAGGGGAUCCAGGUUCAAUCCCUGGUUGGGGAA